CACGUAGGGCGCAAGCGUUGUCCGGAAUUAUUGGGCGUAAAGAGCUCGUAGGCGGCCUGUUGCGUCCGCUGUGAAAGCCCGGGGCUUAACCCCGGGUCUGCAGUGGAUACGGGCAGGCUAGAGGUAGGUAGGGGAGAAUGGAAUUCCCGGUGUAGCGGUGAAAUGCGCAGAUAUCGGGAGGAACACCGGUGGCGAAGGCGGCCUACUGGGCCAGCACUGACGCUGAGGCGCGAAAGCGUGGGGAGCGAUCCGG
rnacentral:rRNA from 1 species